rnacentral:lncRNA from 1 species
UUGUUUCAGAAGUGCUGCCUGGGGCAGAGGAUCCUGGAGGCCUGGGAAGCCAAUGACCACACACAGGCGACGGGUGGCAUGAGGCAUGGGAACAUAGGCCACCUCACGCAGAUCGCCAACGUGCUGGUGCAGAACCUGGAGCAGGGCUCUGUGCAGACGCACAUCAGCGAGGUCAUCUGAGAGCUCCCUGUGGAUUGCCAUGGCUGCUAGGAGAGCUUCGUGGAGGAGACGCUGACGGAGACCAACUGCAGGAACACUGUGGACUUGCAAGCACUCACUACCUUCACUCCUGGAGUGAGGACAUUGAGGGUGCUUUCCCUAAUGAGCUGUCCCUUCAGCAGGCCUUCUCUGACUACCAGAUCCAGCAGAUGACGGCCAACUUUGUGGAUCAGUUUGGCUUCAAUGAUGAGGAGUUUGCAGACCAUGACAACAACAUCAACGCCCCAUUUGACAGGAUCGCGGAGAUCAACUUCAACAUCGACACUGACGAGGACAGUCCCAGCGCGGCUCUGAGGCCUGCUGCAGCGACCGCAUCCAGCACUUUGAUGAGAACGAGGACAUCUCGGAGGACAGCGACACUUGCUGUGCUGCCCAGGUGAAGGCCAGAGCCAGGUUUGGAGCCCCCCAUGCUUCAGAAAGCUGCUCAAAGAAUGGCCCGGAGUGCGGAGGCCAGGAUGGGAAGGCGAGCUUGGAAGCAGACCAUGAUGCGCCUGGGGCAGGUGCCCCCUAGACCCUGGAAAGAACAAAGCCCCUCCUCUGGAGGGUGACUCAGAAGACACCAUAUGGAUGACAGUGUUUGAUAAGCCAGCAAACUCGACGCCCAUAGCCCCAGGAGUGGUGAGGGACAGGGUUCCAGCGUGUGGGCAGCUGGCACCUCAGCUCCAGAGGAGAAAGGCUGGGCCAGUUCACCGAAUUCCAGCCUUUCUGCUGCUCCGAGUCAGGGCCCAGGUGCAGCUCUCUGAUGGACACAAAACACAGCCAGGCUGAGGCAGCCAGAGCCAAGGCCUCGAGAAAGCCUUCAGCCCAGCUUCUCCAUGUACCUCCGUGUACCUCCGUGUGUGUCACCAGGAAGGCCCCCCUGCUGGCCUCUGACAGCAGCUCCUGUGGGGGCUCCGACAGCGAUACAUGACGACCAGAAGGCAGUGAGUGCCAUGGAUGCUGUGAACACCCGUCCGGGCUAGGAGGCCCCCCGCCCCCGCUGCCCACAGUGGCCAGGACAGAGGAGGCUGUCAGCAGGUGUGUGGGGCGUCGGGGGUAGGUGGGCAGGCCUGCCUG